UACGUAGGGUGCAAGCGUUGUCCGGAAUUAUUGGGCGUAAAGAGCUCGUAGGCGGUCUGUCGCGUCUGCUGUGAAAACUCGGGGCUUAACCCCGGGCCUGCAGUGGGUACGGGCAGACUAGAGUGCGGUAGGGGAGACUGGAAUUCCUGGUGUAGCGGUGAAAUGCGCAGAUAUCGGGAGGAACACCAGUGGCGAAGGCGACUUUCUGGCCUGUUCUUGACGCUGAGGCGCGAAAGCUAGGGUAGCAAACGGG
rnacentral:rRNA from 1 species